rnacentral:rRNA from 1 species
CCCUUAGAUGUUCUGGGCCGCACGCGCGCUACACUGACGAAGUCAGCGAGCAUGUCCUACGCCGACAGGUGCGGGGAAUCUUGUCAAACUUCGUCGUGUUGGGGAUUGAUUAUUGAAAUUCUUGAUCAUCAACGAGGAAUUCCUAGUAAGCGCAAGUCAGCAGCUUGCGUUGAUUACGUCCCUGCCCUUUGUACACACCGCCCGUCGCUACUACCGAUUGAAUGGUUUAGUGAGAUCUUCGGAUUGGCGCCACUGCGGCUCAGCAAUGGGCUCGGUGGAUGCCGAAAAGUUGAUCAAACUUGAUCAUUUAGAGGAAGUAAAAGUCGUAACA